AUGCUUGCUUCAGCAGAACAUAUACUAAAAUUGGAAUGAUACACGGAACAUUAACAUGGUCACUGUGCAAGGGUGACACACAAAUUUGUAAAGUGUUCCAUAUUAAA
ensembl:snRNA U6 U6 spliceosomal RNA